rnacentral:lncRNA from 1 species
GAAUUUUCAAAACGGAAGCUAACAACUGAACCGAAAGAUCCCGAAAAUCACAUGACGCAGGCGCUGGCAGCUCCGACGGUAAACGCGAGCCAGCAAAGUGUACCACAAGGGGCGGCUGAGCGAACCAGCGUGGCAGUCGUCCCCCGUAAACAUACAUAACACCACGCCGGAGCCGCUCGCUCGCUCGCUCGCUGCCCCCACCCCUCUCCCACCUCCCACUCUCCCAAUCCUAUCCCCUUUGCUUCUCGCGUGGGGGUUGGGAUUCUUCGGUGGCCACCUUAUUUAGCUGGAACAUGGCGCCGUCCCGGAUCN